UUUCCCCCUCUCCUCAUCUUAUGAACUAUGAACAAUCUGGUGAAUUCAUCGCUCAAUUUCAAUCAACUUUCACUCAACUUACCAGACAUCACCACCAGCUCCUCUUUUAAUCGCCAUCGUCAUUGUCACCAUGCUUCGACGUCGUUAUCCCACAGUCACCAGUAGCCGCUUUUAGCCUCAUUAGAACCGUCUCCUCCCCAUACCAUCUCUACCGUAGGCAACAGAUUUUGGUGAUAGCAGUCAUCACUCAGGUGGACCUUCGGCCGCAUUGACUCCUUAGCUGAUUUCACCGGUACCAGUGCCGUUAUUUGGUUUUUUCGGUUCUGUCCGGGUACCAGUGCCGAUAUUUGGCAGAUUUCGAUACGGGGGCGAUACACAAAUUCUUGAUACACCAGAGGUUCUUUUAAGUUGUUUGAUGCAGGUUUCUGAAAAUGGACAGCAACGGAAUAUCGGGAUUGCGACCCAAUGGCCCAACACCAGCGCUAGAAGUGGGUGUCAUUCGGAAGUGGGUGCCUAAGUAUCGUGAAAACGAAUUGCAUUUUGUCUUCGUUGAUGAAGAGGGAAUGGGGAUCCAGGCUUAUGUGAAAGGAAAAAACUGCAAAAAUCUUGACUCAAAACUAUGCCUACAAACAUGCUAUCAAAUAAAAGGUUAUGGAUGCACGGAACCAGACAACUUUACGAACACAUUGACCCACCCAGCUAUAAUGAACCUUGGGAACGCCACUGUCAUCACCUCAAUUCCGGACAAUGAAAACAUACCGAAACAAUACUUCGACCUAGCCACACGCAGAAGAGAAGAAUUCCAAGCAAAAACAGAAGGGGUUGUAGGUACGCGUUAAACAUUUUGUUAACAACAUAUUAGUAAACGAGUACCAACAUUUAUGUCACCAUUUAUAUAAACAACCUGAUAAUAGAUUACAUCGGACUACUGGUACGACGAAUUGAGGACAAAAGAACUAACGACAAUAGACCCUUUGUUGUUUUAUCAUUCAAAGACUGCAGCAAUCAAGACAUUACAAUUGCGCUCUGGGAAGAAAUAGCCAUAGUCAAAAGUCGAUUCAACAGGGCUGAAAUAGACGCUGCAUCAGCACUUAUAAUACUAGCAAUGACAGCAUUAAAAGCAAAGAUAUAUUAUGGCCGUGGAAUCACAGGAACACUACAGCUAUCUUCAACAAGUGCUACACAUGUCUACCUAAAUCCACAAACAGUAGAGACUGAAACUUUAAAAGAAAUG